AAAGUGACAGGUGGUGCAUGGUUGUCGUCAGCUCGUGUCGUGAGAUGUUGGGUUAAGUCCCGCAACGAGCGCAACCCUUGAACUUAGUUGCCAUCAUUCAGUUGGGCACUCUAAGUUGACUGCCGGUGACAAACCGGAGGAAGGUGGGGAUGACGUCAAAUCAUCAUGCCCCUUAUGAUUUGGGCUACACACGUGCUACAAUGGACAAUACAAAGGGCAGCGAAACCGCGAGGUCAAGCAAAUCCCAUAAAGUUGUUCUCAGUUCGGAUUGUAGUCUGCAACUCGACUACAUGAAGCUGGAAUCGCUAGUAAUCGUAGAUCAGCAUGCUACGGUGAAUACGUUCCCGGGUCUUGUACACACCGCCCGUCACACCACGAGAGUUUGUAACACCCG
rnacentral:rRNA from 1 species